CGGGGGCAGAUAAAUCUCCAGAGAUGACGUCAAGGACCGUCUUCUCAUCUAUGGCAUCCUUUUUAGCCUCGAUUUCCAUCUGGGCUUCAAUUUCCUCUUUAGCCUGUGAAAGGAAACGCAGACAGUCAAUGUUGUUGAGCGCCCCACUAAGUUUCAAGUUGUGACGUGCACAAGUACAGUGAAGUGCCUUUCUUGCAAGCUCUUUCCCAACAAUGCUUCUUACCCCAUGUGACCUACUUGUGUGAAAUGGCUUCCUGAAGUCCUAAGCAGCUGAUUGGUCGGCCCCAUCGAUAAUUGGAGCUCUGACCCCGCCCUCUCGUCAAAGGAUACAGCUGUCUUCAAUUAGACUCCUUCUGCAGCUUAAAAGCCAGAGUUCCUUUGUUAGGAGGAAAUAGCUUCUGGGUAUGCCACAGUAUUGUUUGUUGCUCAGGGAGAGCUUCUUUGAGGUUCUGUUGGUUGUUGCUCAGACACUUUUUGUAAAGUAUUUUGUAGCUGGUCCUGCGGCGGUAUGUUUAUGUCAAAAGGACUGUUUUGAUUAUUGAAUUUGUUUGUAUUAUUCUGUUUUAUUUGUUCCCAGGGGGGAAGGGGACCGCACCUUGGGAGUGCUUAGGCAAGAGGCCUGCGGGCAUACAUAUACCCGUAGUAUGUACUCUGUCUAUACACACUAGCUAAGACCUGGGUGGAACACCCCCUGUAUUUUGGUUAGCACGCCAGAUGGCGUUAAUAGAUAAGUUGUGGGUAUGUAAGGUAGGAGAGGGGGCUCUUUUAACUUUUACUUUCUUUGCUUUGGUUCCGUCCAGCCCCUUUUUUCCCAGAAUUACCGCGUGAAGAAAUAAAUUCCCUGUUAACGGUAAAAUUCUCUGCCUUUGUCAUCCUUAUCCACACCUGCAAUCCCAUACCUCUUUCACUCCACGGGGAGUUGGGUGUUGCGUUCCCUCUUCCAAGAGGCGUGUGUAACAAUUGUAAAGUAUUUUUUUGGUCUAAUGUAUUUUUAGUUGUGUCGGACCCCAGUAAGGUUAGCUGUCGCUAAUGGGGAUCCUAAUUAAUCAAUAUCCAGAGUAGUAAAAAAUAAGCCAGUAGUCCCACUACAGUAUUUGGCGUGCCCAACGCAACAAAACAAGCUGGAGCAGCCCACAACCAAGGGAAAGAACAGAAUGUAAAAAGGAAGACCACAAGGAGAGAGUCGAGGGAGGAUCGAUCCACAGAUGGUAGAGAGGGGAGGAAUGCCACAUUCCAAAAUGUGCAAGAGCAUUUAAAAUGAGGCAAGUUAUGAGAGGAUAGCCUACACCCAAGUGUUUGAUUAUGUUAAGGCUUAUUAUAUAGCAAGGUGAUUGAGUAAAGUUGGUUGAAUUCAAAAUUACUGAGUGGAUGAGAAGUUUAGGUUAUUAUGAUUCAACUCUGACCAGCAGGUCCUGUAAUCGGGUGGAAGUAUGUCAUCUCUCACCUCUUUCUCCUCACACUCUGGCUCCUGAGACCAACCAGACAACAGAGUUACAGGAGUGUGUUUUGUGUGUCACAUCUGCUCUACUAAAGCAUCUCUGCAUAGAGAAAUGUAGGAGACUCACGUCAAUGACUUUAUCAGCUGUGACAGGGGCGGGCUCAGUGACUAGAGUGACGUCGUUCAGCAACUCCGAUAGGGCGUCAAGUGAAUCCGUUGGGACUGCGGGCACCUGAACAGAGAUGACACGCAGUUGGACUUGAGGAAGGGGACAUCAGCAGGUGGUCAUACUGUAUGAUUAAAGGUGUGCCAAAACAACAUGUGACCACAUCUACAUGCACACCAAUAUCCUGUUAUUCUGGAUACUCAAGUAUUCUGUUUUUUUAGUUGAUGCAUAUAAACAUCAUAUCCCGUUUACAAUAACACGAAGAAGCUUGUAUCCCGGUUAUGCGAAACCCUGAUAUGAACCCUGGGAUAUGUUGAUUUUUGACAGGAUACUGUGGCAUGCAAACAUCUUAUCCCGUUUACUGUUUUUCACGGUCUGUGCAGGCGCUAUUUCACAUAUGGGUGUUGUGUGAUGUUUUCAUCUGAUUGUCAAACAAGUCAUUUAAAAAAGUAUGUUAUAUCUGUGUAGUUUGAUCCUCCAUAAUUUAUUUGCUGAUACAACAGUGGACCGUAUAGCCUACUGGCUUAUGCUACUUUCACCCCUAAUUUGGAUAGUUUUCUGCCUAUAAUUUCCAACAUUUGGUAGGCCAUUUGUCAACUAUAGUUAGAUACAUGCAGCUUCUCUUCUUGUCAUAACUUGUUGCUCAGAAGACUAAAGUAGUGUUCACCAGAAUGAAUGCAUUAGUAAUCUACAGUAGUUGUCUCUUUCGUUUAGGUAGCUGAGAAAAUAAUUAAACACGUUUCUGAUAAGACUUCAGUUUGUCUUGGGUGCAUAUUUUAUGUGGUUGAAAUACUGUCUGCUUGCAUAGGUGUCAAAGAUAAUGCAAAUGCAUGUGUAACUUGUUUUCUUAAGAUGCUGAAAGAAAGAAGUAUUCACCCCCUUGGCAUUCUUCAUAUUUUGUUGCCUAACAACCUGGAAUUAAAAUAUAUUUUUUGGGGGGGGGUUUGUAUCAUUUGAUUUACACAACAUGCCUACCACUUUGAAGAAGCAAAAUAUUUUCUUUUGUGAAACAAGACAAAAAAAACCAGAACUUGAGCAUGCAUAACUAUUCCCCCCCCUUGGGCUAGGUCUCUAUAAGCUUGGCACAUCUAGCCACUGGGAUUUCUGGCCAUUCUUCAAGGUAAAACUGCUCCAGCUCCUUCAAGUUGGAUGGGUUCCGCUGGUGUACAGCAAUCUUUAAGUCAUACCACAUAUUCUCAAUUGGAUUGAGGUCUGGGCUUUGACUAGGCCAUUCCAAGACGUUUAAAUGUUUCCCCUUAAACCACUCGAGUGAUGCUUUAGCAGUAUGCUUUGGGUCAUUGUCGCUAAUGGGGCGGCAGCGUAGCCUAGUGGUUAGAACGUUGGACUAGUAACCUGAAAGGUUGCAUGUUCGAAUCCCUGAGCUGACAUGGUACAACUCUGUCGUUCUGCCCCUGAACAACCCACUCUCCCGAGGCCGUCAUUGAAAAUAAGAAUGUUCUUAACUGACUUGCCUAGUUAAAUAAAGGUAAAAUAAAAAUAAAUUGUCCUGCUGGAAGGUGAACCUCCGUCCCAGCUUAAAUCUCUGGAAGACAAACAGGUUUCCCUCAAGAAUUUCCCUAUUUUUAGCGCAUUCCUUCAAUUCUGACCAGUUUCCCAGUCCCUGCCGAUGGGAAAAAAUAUCCCCACAGAAUGAUGCUGCCACCACCAUGCUUGACUGUGGGGAUAGGGUUCUCGGUGUGAUAAGAGGUGUUGGGUUUGUGCCAGACAUAGCGUUUUCCUUGAUGGCCAAAAAGCUCAAUUUUAGUCUCAUCUGACCAGAGUACUAUCUUCCAUAUGUUUGGGGAGUCUCCCAAAUCCCUUUUGACAAAAACCAAACGUGUUUGCUUAUUUCUUUCUUUAAGAAAUUGCUUUUUUUCUGGCCACUCUUCCAUAAAGCCCAGCUUUGUGGAGUGUGCGGCUUAAAAUGGUCCUAUGGACAGAUACUCCAAUCUCCGCUGUGGAGCUUUGCAGCUCCUUCAGGGUUAUCUUUGGUCUCUUUGUUGCCUAUCUGAUUAAUGCCCUCCUUGCCUGAUCUGUGAGUUUUGGUGGGAGGCCCUCUCUUCGCAGGUUUGUUGUGGUUUAAUCAAUUUUUUAAUCAUGGAUUUAAUGGUGCUCUGUGGGAUUUUCAAAGUUUGGGAUAUUUUUUUAUAACCCAAUCCUGAUCUGUACUUCUCCACAACUUUGUCCCUGACCUGUUUGGAGAGCUCCUUGGUCUUCAUGGUGCCGCUUGCCUGGUGGUGCCCCUUGCUUAGUGGUGUUGCAGACUCGACGGCCCUUCAGAAUAGGUGUAUAUAUACUGAGAUCAUGUGACACUUAAAUAAAGUCCACCUGUGUGCAAUCUAACUAAUUAUGUGAUUUCUGAAGACAAUUGGUUGCACCAGAUCUUAUUUAGGGGCUUCAUAGCAAAGGGUGUGGAUACAAAUCCACAACCGCUUUUCUUUUUUUUUUCCUUUUUUUUUUAAACAAGUAAUUUUUUUCAUUUCACUUCACCAAUUUUGACUAUUUUGUUAUGUCCAUUACAUGAAAUCCAACUAAAAAUCAAUUUAAACUUACAGGUUGUAAUGCAACAAAAUAAGAAAAAUGCCAAGGGGAUGAAUACUUUUGCAAGGCACUGUAUGUGCUACUAUCUG
rnacentral:lncRNA from 1 species